GGCGUGGUGGCAGAGUGGUCUAAUGCGCCAGACUUGAAAUCUGGUUCCUUCGGGAGCGUCUGUUCGAAUCAGGCCCACGUCG
rnacentral:tRNA from 1 species